rnacentral:rRNA from 1 species
GAUGAACGCUGGCGGCGUGCCUAAUACAUGCAAGUCGAGCGAACAGAUGAGGAGCUUGCUCCUCUGACGUUAGCGGCGGACGGGUGAGUAACACGUGGAUAACCUACCUAUAAGACUGGGAUAACUUCGGGAAACCGGAGCUAAUACCGGAUAAUAUAUUGAACCGCAUGGUUCAAUAGUGAAAGACGGUUUUGCUGUCACUUAUAGAUGGAUCCGCGCUGCAUUAGCUAGUUGGUAAGGUAACGGCUUACCAAGGCAACGAUGCAUAGCCGACCUGAGAGGGGGAUCGGCCACACUGGAACUGAGACACGGUCCAGACUCCUACGGGAGGCAGCAGUAGGGAAUCUUCCGCAAUGGGCGAAAGCCUGACGGAGCAACGCCGCGUGGGUGAUGAAGGUCUUCGGAUCGUAAAACUCUGUUAUUAGGGAAGAACAAAUGUGUAAGUAACGAUGCACGUCUGGACGGUACCUAAUCAGAAGGCCACGGCAAACUACGG